GAUGAACGCUGGCGGCGUGCUUAAUACAUGCAAGUCGAACGAAUGGAUGUCUAGCUUGCUAGACUGAAGUUAGUGGCGAACGGGUGAGUAAUACAUAGGCAAUCUGCCCUGAAGUGUGGGAUAGCUAUUGGAGACGAUAAUUAAUACCGCAUAGGUAGUAGGAAGGCAUCUUCCUACUAUUAAAGAUGCGUCUGCAUCGCUGCAGGAUGAGCUUAUGGUGUAUUAGCUAGUUGGUGAGAUAAAAGCCCACCAAGGCUAUGAUACAUAGCUGGUCUGAGAGGAUGAACAGCCACAUUGGGACUGAGACACGGCCCAGACUCCUACGGGAGGCAGCAGUAAGGAAUUUUCGGCAAAUGGGGGCGAACCCUCGACCGAGCAACGCCGCCGUGAGUGAUGAAGGUCUUCGGAUCGUAAACUACUGUUGUAAAGGAAGAAUGUCAUAUAUAGGAAAU
rnacentral:rRNA from 1 species